AUUGAACGCUGGCGGCAUGCCUUACACAUGCAAGUCGAACGGCAGCACGGGUGCUUGCACCUGGUGGCGAGUGGCGAACGGGUGAGUAAUACAUCGGAACGUACCUUAUCGUGGGGGAUAACGCAGCGAAAGUUGCGCUAAUACCGCAUACGCCCUGAGGGGGAAAGCGGGGGACCGUAAGGCCUCGCGCGAUUAGAGCGGCCGAUGUCUGAUUAGCUUGUUGGUGAGGUAAAAGUUCACCAAGGCGAUGAUCAGUAGCUGGUCUGAGAGGACGAUCAGCCACACUGGGACUGAGACACGGCCCAGACUCCUACGGGAGGCAGCAGUGGGGAAUUUUGGACAAUGGGGGCAACCCUGAUCCAGCAAUGCCGCGUGAGUGAAGAAGGCCUUCGGGUUGUAAAGCUCUUUUGUCAGGGAAGAAACAGCAGCUCUAACACAGUCUGCGAAUGACGGUACCUGAAGAAUAAGCACCGGCUAACUACGUG
rnacentral:rRNA from 1 species